rnacentral:rRNA from 1 species
CAGAGGAGCCAAGCGUUGUCCGGAGUAACUGGGCGUAAAGCGCACGCAGGUGGUCCUGUGCGUGGGGUGUGAAAGCUCUCGGCUUAACUGAGAGAGGCCACCUCAUACGGCAGGGCUCGAGCCCGUGAGAGGUCCACGGAAUUGCCGGUGUAGUGGUGAAAUGCGUAGAGAUCGGCAGGAACACCCAGGGGGAAACCAGUGGACUGGCACGGUACUGACACUGAGGUGCGAAAGCGUGGGGAGCGAACCGGAUUAGAUACCCGGGUAGUCCACGCCGUAAACGAUGAAUACUCGGCAUCUGGUGGGCGAUUUUCGUCCGUCGGGUGCCCCAGCUAACGCGGUAAGUAUUCCGCCUGGGAACUACGAGCGCAAGCUUA